AGUCGUUAUAAUUUUUGUUUAAUUAAUUAAUUAAUGCAAAGUACAAGAUUUUAAAAAAGUCCGCCUGACCUGUCAGACCACGGGUUGGAUUUCUAAUAUUCGCUGGUCAAUUAACGGAGAUAUGGGUCACGGGUUUUAUGUUCGGGUUAUAUAAAACUUAUUUUUUUCAACAUUUCAUUUCUCUCCCAUCAAAUGUAGAGGGGCUUUCUCUCCCUUCCCCUCAAACUCCCCGCCUCUCCUCAAGCACGUCGCCCUCCUCGGCGUCCUUCGAGUUCUCAUCCAUGGCGAUGACGGCGUUAGAGAAGCCCCUCCUUUACCUCCUUAGAGUGAAGCCAGCGGUAGUCUAUGACGUGGCGUGAGGUAAGAGACAAGGGAAAAAAUAAUAAAAAAUAAAGAGAGAGAUGAAGUAUGGAGAAAAUAGGUGAUGAUCUCGUCCUUACGACCCAAAUAAAAUUCAUAGCAUGAAUUUUGAGGCUGCCGCGUGUAACUUACAAUGCAGCAAAAAUCCAACAAUCUCACACAUCAAAAUUGCUCCCAAAUUUUUUGCAAAUUUCAACGGCUAUAAUCUCAAAGAUCAAUGGUUGUAAACUAUUUUUAUUUUUUCAAUAAUAUUAAGGUUACAAAUAUUUUAAACAACAAUAUCUCAAAAAAUACAAAGUAAAAAAUUAAAAAAUUUAUACCAACGGCUUUAUUUUUUCUUCCUCUAUAAAAUGAGACCAAAAUUGAAGUACUUUUACAAAACUUUUCUUUAUUAACUUUUAAUUAAAUAUGUAUCUAAUGUCGAUUAGUGUUUAAAUACAAGUCAUUAAUUUAAUUAAGAAUAAGGUUUUAGAUAUUUUAUGCAUUUAUUAAUAAUUAUUUUAAGUUAAAUGAUGGAAUAGACGAUAGAUAAUUUAUGGCAGGGAUGGCUAAAAGUAAGAGAGAUAAAAUGGUGACAAAAAUAAAUUGGGCAACCAUUGGGGAGGUUUGGGCAUUGUUUGUCAUACAGUUUGGUCAUGGGCGAGUAGAAGAGUAGAUAAUAGUUGUUUAUUUGAUGACCAAAAAAUAUGGGUCAUCCAUUGGUUAUACUCUUAUCUACCUCUCUCUCCUCCAACACUAUGCUUUUGAGACCCUAAGAUUUCUCCCAUGGCGCCGAAGAAGAAAAUUUUCACAGGUUUUCGAUUUUGUACGGAUUUGGAUGCGGUGGUGGUGAGGUUGUUGGCGGCGUUGCGCGGGUCGAGGCGGAGGGAUGAGAGACAUGGAUCCAGAGACGAAGGAAUAUAGGUGGUGGUUCUCCUUGAGGAGGCACGAAGGGACAUUGGCGGCGAUCGUCGAGGAGACGCGAGGAGAAGAUCCUCUUUUGUAGAUCGAACAGAUGGUUGGCUAUGGAAGAAUAGUUGCACAAGCCAGAUCUAGAUUGCAAACACCGACUGAAAGCUGCGAGCGUAGGAAGAACAGGUGCAGAAGCAUAGCAACACCUCUGGUUCAAGGAGAUUGUUCCAUUGAGGCGUUCCUUGCUUAUUGUACCGAGGAGGACGAGGCGUUACUUACUGGUUCGUUAGCAUUCAUAUGUUGUUUGAAACUGUCACUUGAAUUACUGUUCAAUAUCCGUACUAUAUUGAUAAUGUAUGCUUAUGUGGUUUUAUUAAUUUUGGUUUCAAAUUUGUAUUGUGAUUUUGAUGGUGUUUAUUGUAUUUGAUGAUUAGCUUUUGAGUCCU